AAAUAUUACAUUAUAUAAUUAGGGCUUAGUAAAAUAAAUUACUUUGCCACAUACUGAACUUGCUAGAAAUAGCAGCCAAAAAAGUUUUUUUGCCAUUUCCACUACUUAAAGAUGAUUAGUACCUGUGUUUCAAAGAGUCAGCCUUACCUCAUGUUCUGUCUCAUGCUGAAUCUCCCUGAGGACUACAUUAACCCUUUCAUUACUGUAUUUCUGUUGAGAUGCUCUGUGUUCCUUUGAAUUACUUUAAAUAUAACAAAGAAUUUAGUAAAACAACUUAGUUAUCAUUCAGCUAGUGACUAUGGUUUAGUGGAAGAUUUUAAUUCAAAACUUAUGAAAACAAGACAUUUGUACUACAGAGCCAGAGCUGGUUCCAGCUGGGUUGGUAAUGAAAGGGUUAAGAAUUGUUUCUCAAUUAUAUAUUUUAACCCUUUUGUUACCACUGUUGUGAUGCUCUGUGUUUCUUUCAAUUAAUUUUAAAUAUAACAAACAAUUUAGUAAAAUAACUUAGUUAUCAUUCAGCCAGUGUUAGGAACAUAAAUUGUGACUAAGGUUUGGUAGAAGAUUUUAAACAAGACAUUUGUACUACAGAGCCAGAGCCGGUUUCAGCUGGGUUGGUAUCGAAAUGGUUAAGCGUACGCGUGUUUGUGCAGUGCUCAAGCACUUGCACAUUGAUUUCCUGAGCAGGCUGUUCCGUUGACCGGAGCAACCGGAACCCUCGUUGUCAUAAUCAAAAGCGUGCCAGAUAUAUAAUUGCAUGUAUAUUUGUGUAUGUCUGUAUAUCUGUCUGUAUGUAUGUGUGUCUCUAUGUAUAUAUGUAUGUCCUGUCCAACCCACAUGCUUUACCGGCUCAUGCAAGCAUGGAAAGCUGAUGCAUAAUGGCGAUGAUGCACAUAUAUAUUUAAAUAAAAAAUGUGUGGGUAUAUAUCGUGCAUACAGCGUUAUACACACCCACAUGCAUGUGCACAAUUUAGCUGAGUGUGGUGGAUAGAUAUUUCCUGAUAAAAGGUGAUAAUAACUGUCAAGAACAAAGUGUGGUGUUCUUUGAAAGUAUGCUAAUGCAUCUUGUGUAGCAGAAUGAAGUGAUUGGCAUGGUAUGUUAAGAAUCUUAUAUUAUCAAGUAUCCUAAUUAAAAUAGUGUUUAUAUAUGUGUGUGUGUGUGUGUAUGGGGAUGUAUAUACAUGUGUUUGUGUAUGGAGAUGUAUAUAUAUGUGCGUGUGUGUGUGUGUGUGUGUGUCUGUAUGCAUAUAUAUGUAAAUGUGUGUGUAUAUUUAUAUACGUGUAUGUGUGUAUAUAUGUAUGCAAGUGUGUAUAUGUAUAUAUAUAUGGAUAUAUAUGUGUGUGUGUGUGUAAAUAUAUAUCUAUGUGUGCGUAUAUUUAUAUACAGAUGUAUGUGAAUGCAUGCGUAUGAAUGCAUGUAUGUAUGCAUGUUUGUCUGUAUGUGUGUAUAUAUAUAUAUAUAUAUAUAUAUAUAUACGCGUGUAUGUAUGUAUAUGUGCGUGUGUGUGUGUGUGUGAAUAUAUGAAUGUAUAUAUAUGUAUAUGACUAUAUAUGUAUGUAUGUAUAUAUAUAUGUAUAUAUAUCUAUAAAUAUAUAUGUGUGUGUGUAUUUAUGAUGUAUGUAUGUAUGUGCGUGUGUGUGUGUGUGCAUGCUUGUAUAUAUGAAAUCUGUGUAUGUGAAAAGUGGCAAUAUAGUGUUGGCAGCAGCGGUGGUAGGGUGGGGUGGGUGUACCACGUUUUCUUCUGUGAAUUGAAAUAAUGAAAUAAGACGCUUUUUACAUUUUGCUAUUAAUCAUUUCGCAGAAAUGGAUGUUUUCACAAAAGUUACUCAUGUUAGCAACAGCGAUUUUAUUAUUGCCUCCCUAGUUUAUAUUAUAAUAUUUUGAAUUUUUAUUUUGUUUUCAACACAAGAGUUGAAAUAAAAUUGGUCUUUUUUUGUUUUUCCAGUUUUCUCAUUUUUUUUUCUUUUUGGGUAUUUUAAUUUUUGCUGUAUCUGAAUUCUUAGUAUUUCAUUCUAUUUUUUUCAAUUAGUCUUCAGGUUAUUUUUUUUUAUAUACUGAAUUUUUGUUUUCUAGGCUUUUAUUUUUUCCUUUAGUUUGUACGCUUCUCUUAAUCUGUUUCAUAAAAUAUCUCUAUUUUCUGAAUCAGUUUCUUAGUUUUGAAGUCUUAUUUUAGCACACACGGUGAUACGUAUGUGCACAUGUUACUCGCAUGCAUAUAUGCAUGUUAGUAAGCUGGCAGAAAUGUUAGCACGCCGGGCGAAAUGCUUAGCGGUAUCGAGGUCGACUUUGCCUUUCAUCCUUUUGGGGUCGAUAAAUUAAGUACCAGUUACGCACUGGGGGUCGAUGUAAUCGACUUAAUACCUAUGUCUGUCCUUGUUUGUCCCCUUUGUGUUUAGCCCCUUGUGGGUAAUAAAGAAAUAGGUAUUUUGUCUGCCAUUACGUUCUGAGUUCUAAUUCCGCCGAGGUCGACUUUGCCUUUCAUCCUUUCGGGGUCGAUAAAUUAAGUGCCAGUUACACACUGUGGUUGAUAUAAUCGACUUAAUCCCUUUGUCUGUCCUUCUUUGUUCCCUCUAUGUUUAGCCCCUUGUGGGCAAUAAAGAAAUAAUAUAUGCAUGUCAGUAUUUAGUCAUCUUCUAAAAUGUUUUUGUUAUUAAAAUUCCGAGGGAGACUAUGUGUGACUGACAGUUAAUUGAUCAUAAUUUUUGACCAGGCUGCUUGUUAUUCACUGGCAGUGAAGGCAGGAUUGUGCAUGGACUUUGGUCAGAUCAUAUAUCAUCAUCAUCAUCAUUGUAAUGUCUACCUUUCCAUGCUUGCAUGGGUUCUACAGAGUUUUAUUGAGGCAGAUUUUUGAUGACCAACGACUGGAUGCCCUUCCUGUCACUAACUCUCACCUGUUUUCAAGCAAGUUAAUAUUUACCUGUGGCCAGACAUAUUUUUGCAGGAUCUUGGAAAUGAAAUUCAUUUACAAUUAUGUGAUGUUAAGAGGAAACACAGACAUACAGUUACAUAUUCUCAGACACACAUACAUUCAUACAUACAUGUUGGCUGUAGAAACUCUGCCAGAUGAAGAUUGGAGCCUGGUGCAGCCAUCUGGUUCGCCAGCUCUCAGUCAAAAUCGUCCAACCCAUGCUAGCAUGGAAAGCGGAUGUUAAACGAUGAUGAUGACAUACACACACACAUACACACAAAUACAUACACACACACAUGCACACACAUAUACAUGAUGAACUUAUUGCAGUUUACUCACAGUGCUUUGGUUACCCAGGGCUAUCGUAGAAGACAUUUGUCUAAGAUGCCACACAGUUCAACUGAACCUGAAACUGGAAGCUUGUAUCUACAAAGUUAAGGGGAUAUGGACACACCAAAACUGGUUGCCAGGUGGUGAUAGGGGACACACAGACUAGGUUUCCAUAGUAUCUGGCAACCAAAUUCAGUGCUUGGUUCUUACUGUAUUUUAUAAACAAACUAGCAAAUGCACCCGUCCUUUGGACAGUUUAACAUAUAAAUAAAUAAUAAAUCAAAAAAUUGUGAAAACAGCUAAAAAAUAUUCUGUAAUGCAAAUAUACAACCAUAUAGAUUAAAAAAGUAUGGAAAUAAAUUGACAAAAUUCUUUCACUUUUGUAAUAUUCUCUAACCAAUACACAUAUAAAAAAAUACAGAAAGUAAUAAUACACAAUUACAACAUAUAAAUAAAUAAUCAAUCAAAAAAUUGUGAAAACCACAAAAAAUAUUCUCUAAUGCCAGUAUAUGACAGUAUAGAUUAAAAAAGUAUGGAAGACUGUACAUACAAAAAAUCUCUAUAUAAACAGCGAAUUUGAGAAAAACCCAUGUAAACCACUGUUUUUCCCGGUUUGUCCAUUUACACAGGAGCUCUGAGCAAAAUGUUAUAGUGCAUGGCCAUCCUUGGCACAUACACAAUGUGUGUGUAAAGCUUGGUGAAAAUCAGUUGAGAAUUGUGGAAAUGUAUGCAUUAGUCAAUAUACACACACAUACUCUUCUAUGAGUUCCAUCCAUUUUGAGUUAUCAGCACUUGCUUAUUUACUGAUAUUGCUUUGCAGUUCUGUAUUUAAAAGAUGGAGGAAUUAUGUACAUUAUUUACAUUUGACAGAUAUUUGUCCUCAUCUUGUUUGUUGUUAACACAAUAUUUCGGUUGAUAUACCCUCCGGCCUUCAUCAGGUGUCUUGGGGAAAUUUCGAACCCUGGUUCAAAUAAUAAUGAUAACAUCGAAAAAUACCUUAGGAUGAGAACCCAGGUUCGAAAUUUCCCCAAAACACCUGAUGAAGGCUGGAGGGUAUAUCAGUCGAAAUGUGUUAACAACAAACAAGAUGAGGAAAAUUAUCCAUCAAACGUAAAUAAUGUGAUAAUGAUAUUGCUUUGCUAGGCAUAACAACUAAUUAAAAGAGGUGCUUAUUAUCAUCAUCAUCAUUAUCAUCAUCAUCAUAAGAAUCAUCAUCAUCAUCGUUUAACGUCCGCUUUCCAUGCUGGCAUGGGUUGGACGGUUUGACUGAGGUCUGGAGUGCCAGUGGCUGCACCAGGCUCCAAGCUGAUCUGGCUCUGUUUCUACAGCUGGAUGCCCUUCCUAGUGCCAGCCACUCUGAGAGUGUAGUGGGUGCUUUCUUUUUACGUGCUACUGGCACAGGAGCCAGUCAGGUGGGCCAGGCAUCGAUCACAUUUGGAUAUAUAUUUAUGUGUGCGUGUCAUUGUAUAUGUGUUUGUCCCCCAUCACCUCUUGACAGCCGGUGGUGGUCUAUUUAUAUCCCUGUAACUUAGCAGUUCAGGAAAUGAAACCGACAGAAUAACCACAAGGUUUAAAAUGAAAAUAACUACAGUUCAACUAAACCCUUCAAAGCAGUGCCUGUAUUAGGCUUAAAAAGUAAAUACGGGGAUUUGUUUGUUCUACUAAACCCUUUGGGGCAGUGCCCCAGUAUAAUCGCAUUCGAAUGACUGAAACAAGUCAAAAAAGAAAAUAAAAGAAGCAGGCGCAGGAGUGGCUGUGUGUUAAGUAGCUUGCUAACCAACCACAUGGUUCUGGGUUCAGUCCCACUGCGUGGCAUCUUGGGCAAGUGUCUUCUGCUAUAGCCUCGGGCCGAUCAAUGCCUUGUGAGUGGAUUUGGUAGACGGAAACUGAAAGAAGCCCGUCGUAUAUAUGUAUAUAUAUGUAUAUAUGUAUGUGUGUGUAUAUGUUUGUGUGUCUGUGUUUGUCCCUCUAGCAUUGCUUGACAACCAAUGCUGGUGUGUUUACGUCCCCGUCACUUAGUGGUUCGGCAAAAGAGACCGAUAGAAUAAGUACUGGGCUUACAAAGAAUAAGUCCCGGGGUCGAUUUGCUCGACUAAAGGUGGUGCUCCAGCAUGGCCGCAGUCAAAUGACUGAAACAAGUAAAAGAGAGUAAAAGAGUAUAAACAAAAAAUGUUUAGAUGAAGUACUUAUUAUCCCUUUGGAUAUCACCCCCCCCCCCCCAAAGUUAAGACCAUUAUUAGUUUCACUUUCUGAGGGGAUCAUGUAUUAGUUUUGUUAAUUGAGUGAUGUAGUUGUCUAAUAAUUCUUAAAAUCGCUUAAAAGAGAUAGCUACAGUUAUUCCCCCCCCCCCCCACCAGCCUGUAAUCUGACUAUUUAUUCUCAUUCUGUAGAAACCCUGGUUAGUUCUAGGAAAGCUAUCGCGUUGUAAAUAACUCUUCAAAUUACAUUAGAAAAAAAAAAAAAAUACAAGAACAACACUUAUAUAUUAUUAAAUCUGAAUUACAUGGCAACAUUGUGUUAAUUUUUGAUAAGAGGUGUGAAAUGUAGACGAAUGGAAAACCAACGAACUUGUGCCAAGAUAGGUGCUUUAAACGAAUGAUUGAUGGAGAUAUGAAGUAACAGGUGAUAUCAUCAUCAUCAUCGUCAUUAUGUAGAAUGUAACAUCCAUUUUCCAUGCUGGCAUGGGUUGGAUGGUUUGAAAGGAUCUAGCAACCUGCAAGGCUGUGUUGAGCUCCAGGAUCAGCUUUGGCAAGGUUAUUACAGGUGGAUGCCCUUCCUAAUAAAUGCCAACCACUUUUCAGUGUGUACCAAAUGCUUUUUUUUUGUUUGUUUUUCAUACCAUCAACACUAGUGAGGUUGCCAAAUAACUUAUGAGGCAAGAAAAGGAAAAAAGAAAAAAUCCCCUUUACAAAGUGGGGAAGGGUUUUUGAGAGUAGGGAGGUGACUUUAUGCCAGGUGUCAAGAGGUUAAUGUAUGAUAGAGGGACAAGAACAGGACUCUUCCUACAGAGAAGAUACAUGGCUAUCCCACCUUAUAUAAGGGUGGGUGAGAGUAGCUGGGAAGAAGAUAAGGUGGUAGUCAUGGGUGCCAGAGCAAACCCUCAAGGUACAGGAAAGUGAGCAUAAAAGACAUUUUUGUUUCACCAACCAUUCUAAAGGAACUGUUAAAAUGUAGGGUGGACUUCAGAAAUUAUUGUUUGUAAUCUGCUCAGCAACUCUGAUGUUCUGAAAAUAAUUAUUGAGAAAAUUUUGCAAUGGGUCUUGUGUGUAAGAAGAGCAAGAAGAGCCCCUCGUACUUAUAUUGCACUGUGCCUUGGACUUUCAUCCUUUCUGGGUCAAUAAAAUAAGUACCAGUUGAACACUGGGGCUCGUUGUAAUCAAAUAGUUAUAUCCAUGAGAAAAUUUCAGGCUUUGUUUUUUUAGGAGAAAGGAUUAUUAAAAGGAACUAAAAAAAAUUAGAUUUACUUUUACUUGUUUCAGUCAUUAGACUGCGGCCAUGCUGAGGCAUCGCUUUGAAGAACCUUUUUAGUUGAAUGUAUCGACCCCAGGACUUACUUUUUUAAAGCCUUGUACUUAUUCUAUCAGCUAAGUUACAGUGGCGUAAACACACCAGCACUAGUUGUCAAGUGGUGGUGGGACAAACACAGAAACAAAGACACACACACAUUGAUAUAUAUAUCUAUCCACAUUUAGUUUUGUCUAUAUGUGUGUGUGUGUGUGUGUGUGUGUAUAUUAUAUAUAUAUAUAUGCACACACACACACACACACAUAUAUAUAUAUAUACUAUUUAUAGUGUUAAACACUUUCGGUAUGCAAAUUAGGGACUCCUUCAUAGAGUAACUACUGCAUUUGUUGAGUACAUAAACAGUUUGGCUGCUUGUUUCUCUGGGGACUGUCAGAAUGAUGUAGACGCCUCUGAUGAGAACCCAACAAGGUUCUAAAAUCAAUUAAGGAUGUUCAUUUUUUUUUAGUCUGCUGAGAAAUGGCUAAAAUUUGCCCUGUUUAUAAUUAUACCAUAUGUUAUAUAUCAAUAUACACACAAACACAAUAUAUAUACAUAUAUAUGACGGGCUUCUUUCAGUUUCUGUCUACCAAAUCCACCCACAAGGCUUUGGUCAGCCCGAGGCUAUAGCAGAAGACACUUGCCUAAGGUACCACACAAUGGGACUGAACACGGAACCAUGUGGUUGGUAAGCAAGCUUCUUACCACCCAGCCAUGCCUUUUGUUGAUUAUUGUAAAACAUAUCAUCUGUAUUCAUACACAACAUGGUCUUUUUCUUUCACCUAACAGCUUGAAGCUUUGAUUGUUGAUUGGGGCAGUGUUAUCAGGUGGUAUUGGUUACACAGCUCUCUUUUAUACUUUGCUAUUCACUUAGAAAGAAAAGAAAAAAAAAAGAAAAAAGCAUAGCCUUUGUUAGGAUUAAACCUGUUCUGUAGCUUUUUAUAAUUUGUUAAAAUGUGUGAGCUUGUCUUUUCUGGGAAGCAACUAGACUGAGGGUGAAAAAGAAAAACAAAAGCUAUCAAGUGGUGAGGAUGUGAAGAUUUGUUUAUAUAUUGCAGUGCUUGCUGACUUGCUAGUGAAACAAGUACUGACCUGUAAUGAGGUUAGAGUUGUGGACUAGACUUUCAACAUGAAUAACUGGUCUUUUCUUUUCUUUUUUUUUUUUUAAAUAAAGACAGUGAUUUUAUUCAUUUAUUUAUUUAUAUUUUAUGUCUCUGUUGGAUAUAAUAUUUAUCAGAUAUAUAAAUAUUCUAUCUUACCAUAUUUUAGGGAUAAACCUUUUUACAUCCCAUCAUCAGCUAACGUCUGUUUUUCAUGCUGGCAUGGGUUGUACAGUUUGACAAGAACUCGCCUGUUUGAGAGCUGCACUAGGCUCCAAUUGUCUGUUUAGGCAUGGUUUCCAUGGCUGAAUGUCAACCAGUUUACAGGUUGUACUGGGUGCAUAUACUGUGGUAUCAUCAUCAUCAUUUAACGUCCGCUUUCCAUGCUAGCAUGGGCUGGACGAUUUGACUGAGGACUGGUGGACCAGACGGCUGCACCAGGCUCCAAUCUGAUCUGGCAGUGUUUCAACAGCUGGAUGCCCUUCCUAACGCCAACCACUCCGAGAGUGUAGUGGGUGCUUUUACGUGCCACCGGCACAAGGGCCAGUCAGCUGGUACUGGCAACGGCCAUGCUCAAAUGGUGUUUUUUAUGUGCCACUUGCACAGGAGCCAGUCCAACGGCACUGGCAACGACCUUGCUCAAAUGGUUUUCUUUAUGUGCCAUUGACAGGUGCUCCUACAUGGCACUGGCACGGGUGCUUUUACAUGGCACUAAGACAAGUGCUUUUUAUGUGACACCAACUCCUGCAAGUCCUGAAGAUAGGGACCUCUCUGCUGAAAGAGGGACAUAAAAGACACAUGUAUGUAUGGAUGGAUGGCCAUGGUUUUACUCAGCUUGACAUGUCUUCUCAAGUACAGUCAACCACCAGAAAUCUCAGUUCCUUGUCAUCUCCUCUAUGAGGCUUAAUGCCUGAAGAUCCUUUCUUACCACUUCGUCCCAUGUUUUCCUGAGUCUACCCUUCUAUAAUUUUGCAUCUGGCAUUCUUUUUUCAUUGAAACAAUGAACAUGAAUUAGAAUAUAUGGUAUCAUUUUUAACAUCCACUUUUCCAUCCUCACAUGGACUGAACAGGAUUGUUGCGGCUUAUUUUCUAUAGCCAGGUGCCCUUCCUGUCACCAACCUUAAACUGUUUCCAGGCAAGGCAAUAUACCUCAUGCUUUUAUGGAAGACUUGAGGUGAAGGACACCACUUUUAAGAUGUUAAUGCUUAUUUACUACUUGACGUGCUGUCAAGACAAGGAGGGAGAAACACACACACACAGCAGGCUUCUUCCAGUUUUUGUCUAUCAAAUCCAUUGACAAGGAUUUUGAUGUCCCAGAGUUGUAGUAGAAGACACUUGCCCAAUGUAUCACACAGUUGGACUGAACCAGAAACCUUGUGAUUGGGAGACAAACUUCCGAACCACACAUAUUUAUUGUUUGCCUUAACCUUUUCGUUACUUUAUUUAUUUUGAGAUGCUCUGUUUUUCUUUCAAUUACUUUAAAUACAACAAAAAAUUUGGUAAAAUAACUUUGUUAUCAUUCAGCUAGUGUUAGGAACACAUAUUGUGACUAAGGUUUGGGGAAAAUUUUAAUUCAAAACUUAUGAAAACAAGACAUUUAUACUCAGAGGCAGAGCCGGCUUCAGCCGGGUUGGUAACGAAAGGGUUAAGUCUGCAGGAAUAUGAAGCUGGGGGCGUAGGUGCUAUUUGAAUUUUCAAGAUGCCUGCAUUUAGUACAGUACCACUGGCAUUCCUUUUUGGCUUGGUGUACAGGAGCAACAUGAAACGUCUUGCUGAAGGACACAGUGUGUCAAAUACACAGCCUAGCAGUUAUGCUCCUAACAUCUUUACCACAAGGCCCUAAAGCUUUCAUAUAUGUGUUUGUUUGUGUGUGUGUAUGUGUGUGUAUUCAGUUGUCACUAAUUGUGACUGAAGUUGCAGGGUAGCACCUACAUUGCUAGAAAUAAGUGUUAAAACCUCUUAGAAUUACAAAAAAAAGCACUAAGGGUUUUUUUUAAACUCUUAUUUCUAGCAAUGUAGGUGCUACCUGGCACCCUCAGUCACAAUUUGUGACAAUUUUAAUUUUCUUUUUUCAGUUUAUAUUGUGUAUAGCUGCCUUCAUUAUUUCUCACACACACACACACAUAUAUAUAUAUAUAUGUAUAGUCUUUCAGUAGAUCAAAAUUGCUAUUCAAGUGAUUAGGUGUCCUGAAAACUAAAUUAGUUUGAAAAAAGAUAGUUUCUUUGAUCUUUUUUUUGUGUAGAAUAUUAAUUUAAGUGUCGUCAUGUAUGAUUAUAAAGUUUUCUUCUGUGAAACAAUCUCGCUGUUUAACUGGGUUAAGUUAGGUAUUACUUCAUGCCAGGUCCUAUUUCACUGAGUGAUAUUACGUCAUCAUCAUCAUCAUCCAAUUCUCUAUGCUUUUCCCAUGCUUGCAUCAGUUCCUCACCUCAUUGAAGUCUUUCAUCGCCUUCUUUGCGAAACUUGACAUCGUGAGAUCAGUUUCCAUUACAUCUGUCAAUGUCUUCCUUGCUUUUUCCCUUUCUUUACUUUUUCCUUUCUCUUGAAUCUUUUGCACUUCUUUUAACCAACUAUCGUCCUUCAUACCACAGCAGUUUCUGUCUUGAACCCUACAUCUGAUUUCUCUUCCCUUUACUCUUUUACUUGUUUCAGUCAUUUGACUGCAGCCAUGAUGGAGAACUGUCUUUAGUCGAGCAAAUCGACCCCAGGACUUAUUCUUUGCAAGCCUAGUUCUUAUUCUAUCAGGCUCUUUUGCCGAACUGCUAAGUUACGGGGAUGUAAACACACCAGCAUCGGUUGUCAAGCGAUGUUGGAGGGACAAACACAGACACACAAACAUACACACACACACAUACACACACACACACACACACACACAUACACACACAUAUAUAUAUAUAUAUAUAUAUAUAUAUAUUUAUACAUAUAUAUGAUGGGCUUCUUUCAGUUUCCAUCUACCAAAUCCAAUCACAAGGCUUUGGGCGACCUGAGGUCAUAGUAGAAGACACUUGCCCAAGGUGCCACGCAGUGGGACUGAACCCAGAACCAUGUGGUUCGUAAGCAAGCUACUUACCACACAGCCACUCUUCAUAGUUUAUAGCCACCAAUAUUACAAAUCCAAUGUGCCUUCCCAAGCACUGUGUACCACCCAUCAUCUUGGUCCUUUGCCAUCUUUUCCACGAAGCACUCAGCAUUCCUCACUUCAUCCUGAGUUUUCCUUUUCCAUAAGUUCUCUGUACCAUAAGCGAUUGGCACAUCUUUACCCAACUAUCCAUCUCCGUUUGCAUCACAUGGACAAACCAAUUUAACCUUCUCUCUUGCACACAUCUUACACCUCUUAUUCCCAAUUUGUCUCUCAACACAUCAUCUGUGCUUUGUUAUUCCUGUACACAGUCAUUGCACAUCCAGCAGAGCAUUCUUGCUUUAUUUUUAAUUUCUUUCUAGUCUUUGCCGUUCCUCUGCAUUGAGGUCUUACAUCUCACUACCAUGUAGGAUUGCAGUUUGUACACAGGCAUUAUACAAUGUGGCUUUCACACUGUGCAAGAAACACCUUUUGUCACCAACAGCGGUUGUACCUCUCUGAACUUUCUCCAGCUUAUACUAUACUUUCAAAACAUCCUCCACAUCUAGGUAACAGAAACUAUUUACUACAAGGCGGUGAGCUGGCAGAAACAUUAGCACGCUGGGCGAAAUGCUUAGCGGUAUUUUGUCUGUCUAUACAUUCUGAGUUCAAAUUCCACCAAGGUUGACUUUGCCUUUCUUCCUUUCGGGGUCGAUAAAUUAAGUACCAGUUACGCACUGGGGUCGAUGUAAUCGACUUCAUCCCUUUGUCAUUGUUUGUCCCCUCUGUGUUUAGCCCCUUAUGGGAAAUAAAGAAAUAAGAAACUAUUUACUACCCCUAGGAAUUCCCCUGGGCAGCAUCAGUUUCCCUUAUUGGUUAUUAAUCCUGGGUAAUCUGCUACAUUAAAGAAUCUGCUUUCUCUGUUAAUCUACCAAUAUUUCCACUGUAUCUCUUAUGUGACUCAAUUUUGCACUGUAUUCCUUAUAUGCACCACAUAACUGACCAAAGCCCUUUUCCUUGAUUCUAGCAGGGCCCUGACUGUUUUCCAACUCACCAGUACUUUAGCCUUUGCUAGGUUAACCUUGACGACCUUUGAUUCCAAGUUUGUUUCCCAUGUCAGAAAUUUCUUCUUUCAUCCUACUACAGAUCCAUCUAUAAAAAUGAUGUCAUCUGUCUGUAGGAUUUUCCACAGGAACCCCUCUGUUAUAUCCUGGAGGGAUAUAAAAACCCUUUAGCAUUAAAACCAGCCAUAUCUGGCCUAAAUACUCUACUUCCUUUUUGUUCAAACCAGCCAGAUCCAGCCUCUUACACCUACCCUGUAAUAUCAUUCCCAAAGUAAAAAGUCACAUCAUGGAAAUCUGAUAGCUAUGACAUAAUGCAUGACUGAUUCAAAACAAUGUAAAUAAAUAAGCAUUUUAUUUCAUAAGGCUAAAGGGUUAAUAAAAAAGUAGGGAACUGAGCACUGAGCCUUAGUGGAUCCCUACUGGCUUACUGAAUUUGUUAUCAUUCUUGUUACAAACUCUUGCUUUGCUGACAGUAUACUUGUGCAUGGCUUGUAUGGUUCCCACAAGUCAUUUGUCUGAACUCAACUACCACAGUCCCCAGCAGAUCACUAAGAGAGAAGAGGGGCCUUGUUGAAGGCUUUCUCUAGGUUGAUGAAUAUAGGUACAGUGGUUUAUUUUUAGCUAAGUACUUCUCUUGCAGUUGUCUAAUUAGAAAGAUGGAAUCAGUAGUGCUUAAGAUAGGUGUGUGUGUGUGUAUGUAUGUUUAUAUAUAUGUCUAUAUAUAUAUAUAUAUAUAUAUAUAUAUAUAUAUAUAUAUGUGCAUAUAUAUGUACAUGUAUGUAUAUACCUACGUAUAUGUAUGUAUAGUGAAGGCACAUGGCUCAGUGGUUAGAGCAUACGAUCGUGAGGUUGUGAGUUCGAAUCCCGGACCAGGCAGUGUGUUGUGUUUUUGAGCAAGACACUUUAUUUCAUGUUGCUCCAGUUCGCUCAACUGUAGAAAUGAGUUGCGACAUCACAGGUGCCAAGCUGUAUCGGCCGUUGCCUUUCCCUUGGAUAACACUGGUGGCGUGGAUGGGGAGGUCGGUAUGCAUGGGCGACUGCUGGUCUUCCAUAAAACAACCUUGCCCGGACUUGUACCUCGGAGGGUAACUUUCUAGGUGCAAUCCCAUGGUCAGUCAUGACCGAAGGGGGGUUUCAGCACAUGUGUGUAUAAUAUAUAUUUAUAUGUGUGUGCAUGUGUGCGUGUGCGUGUGCACGUGUGUGUGUGCGCGUGUGUGAGUGUGUGUGCCCGUGUGUGUAAAUGCAAAUACAUUUCUAGGCAAUACUGAAGGUGUUUCUUUAAAGUUAACUGUAAACUCAGAAUUGGUAAAUUUAUCAAUUAAAAUUGAUGCAUGUGUGUGUAUAUAUAUAUAAUAUUAUAUUAUAUGUACAUAUACAUUCACACAUGAAUAGAUGUAUACAUAGAAAUACACACACACACACACACAUGAAUUAGGAAUAGACAAUCUGGUUUAUUGGAUAUUUGAUCGGAAUACUUCGGCUGCAUCUCAAUAUUCUAAAAUUGUAACUCGAGGCUGGUAAAUUUAAGUUUCAUUGCAAAUACUUUUAUCCUCCAUAAACAAAAUUAUGACUGCGAUAAAAAUAACACACACACACACACACGUGAUGAAUCAUGUUGAAUAUAUACACACAUACACACAUAUACAUACUCACAUAUAUAUGCAUAUAUAUAUAUAUAUAUAUAUAUAUGUGUGUGUGUAUAUAUAUAUAUGUGUGUGUGUGUAUAUAUAUGUGUGUAUAUAUAUAUAUAUAUAUAUAUAUAUAUAUAUACACAUACAUACAUAAAUAUAUAUACACAUAUAUGUAUAUAUAUAUGUGUGUGUGUGUGUGUAUAUAUAUAUAUGUAUAUAUAUAUAUAUGUGUGUCUGUAUAUAUGUGUGUGUGUGUAUAUAUAUAUAUACAUACAUAUAUAUGUACAUAUAUAUAUAUAUAUACAUACAUAUAUAUAUACACAUAUAUAUAUAUCUAUGUAUAUAUAUAUAUGUAUAUAUAUGUAUAUAUGUAUAUAUAUAUAUGUAUGUAUGUAUAUAUAUAUAUUUGUAUGUAUAUAUAUAUGUAUGUAUAUAUUAUAUAUAUAUAUAUACAUAUAUAUACACAUAUAUAUAAGAAAACCAAUUUGCUUAGUUAUGUCUUUCUUAACACCUUGUACUCUUCAUUUCUUUUAGUGUGAAAUUUUAUGAAAUAGAAUAAAACGAAACUUUAAUUUAAUACAACUCCCCCCCCCCUACACAUUCUCCACACUAAACCGUACUUAUACUUACAUUGAUGUAUGGCUGUCAUUUGGUACUGAAGCUUACCUGAAGGGUCUUGUGUCUUGACGGAAAUGAUGAUCACAAUAAAUGGAGGAAUGCUUUUUAAUUACAUAAAUCAACAGCAGGAGUGGCUGUGUGGUAAGUAGCUUGCUUACCAACCUCAUGGUUCCGGGUUCAUUUCCAUUGCGUGGCACCGUGGGCAAGUGUCUUCUACUAUAGCCUCGGGCUGACCCAAGCCUUGUGAGUGGAUUUGGUAGACGGAAACUGAAAGAAGCCCGUCGAUAUAUAUAUAUAUAUAUAUAUAUAUAUAUAUAUAUAUAUAUAUAUAUAUAUAUAUAUGUGUGUGUGUGUUUGUGUGUCGUUGUUUGUCCCUCCUAACAUCGCUUGACAACCAAUGCUGGGUGUGUUUACGUCCCCAUAACUUAGCAGUUCGGCAAAAGAGACCGAAAGAAUAAGUACUAGGCUUCCAAAGAAUAAGUCUUGAGGUCGACUUGCUUGACUAAAGGCAGUGCUCCAGCAUGGCCGUAGUCAAAUGACUGACACAAGUAAAAGAAUAAAAGAAAGAAAGCAUAUUUCUUUCCUUUAUCAUUUGUUCCAGUCGUUAGACUGCGGCCAUGCUGGGGCAUCAGCCCUUUCCAUUUUUCUCUCAUAUGUAGGGAGCCUGUUUUGAAUGUUAUUCAACAUGUUCCUUUCCAAGACAAUAAGCUUUGAUUUGAGGAGGGUUUAGCUCCUGUUUCUAGCUAGCAGUCUGAGGAAUCACAUAAAUGUUCCCUCAUUGGCCUUUCCAUCUUUCUCUCUUAUGUAGGGACCUCAGGUUGAACUUUAUUCAAUGUCUUCUUUUCCAAGACUAUAGGGUUUAAUUUGAGGGAGAUUUGGCUGCUAUUUCUUGCUAGCAAACUGAGCAAUCACAUGGAAGUCUCCUUAUUUGCUUUUCCAUCUUUUUUGUUAUGUAGAGGCCCCAGAUCAAACCUUAUCCAAUGUAUUCUUUGCUUAGACAAUAGUUUGAUUUAAGGGAGAUUUGGCUGCUAUUUCUAGCAAGUGAUUGAGCAAUUGCUUAGGUGUUUCAACACUGGCUUUUCCAUCUUUUUCUCAUAUGUAGGGACCCCAGGUUGAACACUAUCGAACAUGUUCUUUUCUCUCUGGUUUGAGGGAGAUUUGGCUGCUAUUUCUAGCUAGCAGGCUGAGCAACCACAUAGAUGUUUUCUCAAUGACUUUUCCAUUUUUUCCUUAUAUGUAGGGACCCCAGGUUGAAUGUUAUUCACAUUCUUUUCCAAGACAAUAGGGUUUGAUUUAAGGGAAAUUGAACUGCUAUUUCUAGCUUGUGACCUGAGCAACUAUUUUCUCAGUGGCCUUUCCAUCUUUUUCUCCUAUGUAGGGAUCCUAGAUUGAACCUUAUUCAAAGUUCUUUUCUAAGAUAAUAGCAUUUGAAUCAGUGGCAAUUUGGCUGCUAUUUCUAGCUAGCUGGUUGAGCACUCACAUAGAUGCUCCUUCAUUGGCUUGUUUAGUGAAGCGUUUGUUCAUUUUGUGACAUAAUUAGCUCUGGGUGUGGAGCCAUGGGUAGUGUAUUUAUGAGGGUUUGGAUUUAAAGAAUGUCUUUGUUUGUAACAAAAGAUUUUUGCUUUCCAUACAAAGAAAGAAGAAGAAAAGCACAGAGUUUUGUGAAGUGUAUGGAGAAAGUGUAUCUGUUGCUGUACGGGUGAAUGUGAGACAUGAAUAGCAAAAGGCUAAAAAUGCCUUGUGAGUGAACUUGGUUGGCAGAAACUGUGUGGAAGGCGGCGAGCUGGCAGAAUCGUUAGCACCCCAGGCGAAAUGCUUAGCAGUAUUUUGUCUGUCGUUACUUUCUGAGUUCAAAUUCUGCCGAGGUCGACUUUGCCUUUCAUCCUUUCGGGGUUGAUAAAUUAAGUACCAGUUACGCACUGGGGUCGAUGUAAUCGACUUAAUCCAUUUGUCUGUCCUUGUUUGUUUCCUCUGUGUGUAGCCCCUUGUGGGCAGUAAAGAAAUAGGUAUUUCGUCUGUCUUUACAUUCUGAGUUCAAAUUCCACUGAGGUUGACUUUGCCUUUCAUCCUUUUGGGGUCGAUAAAUUAAGUACCAGUUACGCACUGGGGUUGGUGUAAUCAACUUAAUCCCUUUGCCUUUCCUUGUUUGUUCCCUCUAUGUUUAGCCCCUUGUGGGCAAUAAAGAAAUAAGAAACGAUAGCAUGCCGGGCAAGCGGUAUUUCGCCUGCCGUUACGGUCUGAGUUCAAAUUCCACUGAGGUCGACUUUGCCUUUCAUCCUUUCGAGGCCGAUAAAUUAAGUACCAGUUAAUUUACUAGGGUCAAUGUAAUUUACUUAAUUCCUUUGUCCUUGUUUGUCCCCUCUAUGCGGCCAUGCUGGAGCCUAUUCUUUGGAAGCCUUGUAUUUAUUCUUUCGGUCUCUUUUGCCAAACCGCUAAGUUAUGGGUACGUAAACACAUCACCAUCGGUUGUCAAGUGAUGUUGGGGGACAAACAGAGACACACAAACAUAUACACACCCAUAAUAUAUAUAUAUAUAUAUAUAUAUAUAUAUAUAUAUAUAUAUAUAUUUAUAAAUAUAUAUACAUAUAUACAACGGGCUUCUUUCAGCUUCCAUCUACCAAAUCAUUUCACAAGGCUUUGGUUGGCCCGAGACUAUAGUAGAAGACACUUGCCCAAAGUGCCACACAGAGGGACUGAACCCAGAACCAUGUGGUUGGUAAGCAAGCUACUUACCACACAGCCACUCCUGCGCCUAUUCACGGUAAAUAAGAAUUUUUGUUGUGUAAUUAGGAUAAAUUAAUAAAAAUUUAUGAAAUACUGUUUAAGACAUACAAAUUAUUCACUUUGAAUUUUUUAUUUGCGGCUAUUUUAAUAGAAACCUAAAAUAAAAUUCAAUCUAUUUUAGAUUAUUUUUAGCAUUGAAUAUCUCAUUGGUGUGUUUGAACAAAUCAACCGUCAUUUAUUUCCAUUUCAUAUUUCAAACUUGCUAUGAGAACACAAUAGUUAUAUUUGCAAUUAAAGAAAUGGAUUUGCUUCUAUUCUUGGUUAAUGAUAAGCAUAAUCCUUUAUCUUUUAAUCUCUUACUUGUUUUAGUCAUUGGACUGCAACCAUGCUGGCACUUGUUUUUUCUCAAACCUGGUUCUUAUUCUCUUGAUCUCUUUUGUUGAACUGCUAAGUUAUAAGGAUAUAAACAAAACAACACCUGUUGUCAAAUAGUGGUGAAGGACAAACACAAAAAUAAACACACACACACGUGUGAUGGGCUUCUUUCAGUUUCUUUCCAUCAAAUUCACUCACAAGGCAUUGGUUGACCUGGAGCGUAUAGGGCAGCGAGCUGGCAGAACCAUUAGCACGUCGGGCGAAAUGCGUAGCUGUAUUUCGUCUGCCGCUACGUUCUGAGUUCAAAUUCCACCGAGGUCGACUUUGCCUUUCAUCCUUUCGGGGUCGAUAAAUUAAGUACCAGUUAUGCACUGGGGUCGAUGUAAUCGACUUAAUUCGUUUGUCUGUCCUUGUUUGUCCCCUCUAUGUUUUGCCCCUUGUGGGCAAUAAAGAAACAUAUAGUAGAAGACACUUGCCCAAAGUGCCACACAGUGGGACUGAACCCAAAACUAGGUAUUUGGGAAGUAAAUUUCUUACUGCACAACCACACUUGCACCUAAAAUUAUUACAAAAUUUUUUUUACCUGUCUAAGUCUUUCUAAAUUGCUGCCUUUCUCAGGUAUUUUAUACCUGGAUACAUCCAUCUUUCAGUAUUUUUAAGUUCACUGUUACGACUUGGCCUUGCAGCCUGCCAGCUCUACUGACGAUAAUUUUCAACCAUACCCUUUCUGAGUCAAUGAUUCUAGCCUGCAUAAACGUAGACUGCCUUCUAUAGAAUUGUUUCUCUGAUAUCUAUGAAAAGAGAUUCUAUCGAGAUUAUCUGCUCUAAUAAUUUUCUAAGAAGUCACCAUGCCUGCUUGGUCUGAUCCUGGGAAACUUCUUUCACAAUGAAAUAGCUAAGUGAUGGCUUGGAUAAUUGUGGGUUCUUCCUGGUAAUAAACAGAUAUUUUUUUUUUCUUUCUUUGACACUAGCUACUUGCAUACAAAAAUUUUCUUUUCAGUAAAUCUGUGUUUGAUCUGAAAGAAAUUGCUAUCAAAAGCGUAAUUAAUGCUUGCACAUCACUGAAUCCACUAUCUUAACUUUCUUUUAUCAUAAACACCCAGAUCUCUAAGUACAUGAAUGAAUAUAUAUACUAACAUGUCUGCAUAAUUGGGCAUGUAUGUUAAUUCUUUGUGUUCUACAACAGCUGAAAACAACCAUGUAUUUUUAAGGGGUAAAUUGUAAGUAUUUGUUUUCAUAGUGGAUAUUUCAGACAUAAAGAAAAUUAUCUUUAGAGCAUUCUUCGGCGUCAUUAUCAAUUCUUUACGGUAAAUAAGGUUUUUGUCUCAUGAAAAUGUUUUAAAAAAAUGUCUAUUGUUAACAUUUAUUCCUUACACCUAUUUCUGUAAAGUAUGAUUUGUGGGUUAUUUUAGCAAUAUGGUAAGCACAGCCUUAUAUUAUAGAAGCUUGAGAGACGGUUGGAUGGAACUUACACUUGCCUCCUUAUGAGAGCUCAAAAUCUCUCGUGGAAGCAUCAUCCAACCAAAGUACAAAUAUAUGGGAAAUUACCACCUGUGUCAUCUCUUGUGAAAGGUAGAAGAGUCCAGUUUGCUGGACAUUGUUGUAGAGCUGAAAACGAGGUAAUCUCUACUCUUCUCCUCUGGAAGCCAACUGCUCGCGACACCAGAGGUUGCACACUCUCCUACUCUUACGUAAUCUCCAGGGAUACAGGCAUCCAGCAACAGGACCUCCGUAAUGCUAUGAUGGACCGUGAAGUCUGGCGUAACAUAGUAAAUUCCAUUGUCUUGACCUCGGUUGAACAAUGAUGAAUGAUGAUGAUGAUUAUAUUAUAGAUUAUAUUAACUCUUAAAUCCUUAUAGUGCUUAUGUUUUAUAACUCUUCGGCUCCUGAUAGAAACUAGGGAUUAUAUCUAGAUGCAGUUAGUCCAGUAUAAAUCAUGAAAAAAAUAUAACCAUUACAUGAAUUUGGAUGAAAUUUGCUGACAUAAUAUAAUGAUUAUUGGUGUACAUUCUGAAUGUAGUUUUACUCAUUGUUGUUGACUUUUACUUGUUGUCAUGUCACUUUCACCUGCCAAGCUAGGUUGAAUACAGUUUGGUUGAUUAUAUGCCAGUGUUUCCAAAUGUAUUUAUUUAUAUGAUAUUGAUUUUUAAGCACCAAUUUCCUGUCUCAGAGGCAAAGCCACACAACUCCCAAAAGAGACAGAAUUUUGAGAUAUACCAUUGUCUCCUCCAUUCAAAGGUUUUAUUUUAUAAGGCACAGCAAAUUAGUGUUAUCUACCUGAGGUCACUACAUAUAAUUACAUUCUCCUUAUCAACUCUCCGGGGACAUGUAGACAGGUUUAUAAUCCAAGCUGUGUCCUUGUGAAGCACAUCUGUUUAUUCCACUACCCCAAGAUUGUAUGUGGUUGUUGCAAUUGUGUGAGACAUUUUUCUCUCUUUUACUUGUUUCAGUCAUUUGACUGUGGCCAUGCUGGAGCACCGGCUUUAAUCGAACAAAUCGACCCAGAACUUAUUCUUUGUAAGCUUAGCCGAACCGCUACGUUACGGGGAUGUAAACACACCAGCAUUGGUUGUCAAGCGAUGUUGGGGGGGACAAACACAGACACACAAACAUAUACACACACAUAUAUAUAUACAUAUACACGACAGGUUUCUUUCAGUUUCCAUCUACCAAAUCCACUCACAAGGCUUUGGUCAGCCCGAGGCUAUAGUAGAAGACACUUUCCCAAGAUGCCACGCAGUGGGACUGAACCCGGAACCAUGUGGUUGGUAAGCAAGCUACUUACCACACAGCCACUCUUGUGCCUAUAACAUUUUUAAAAUUCUGGAACUUAGUAUUUACAGAGUAAUUACAUAUCAAAACAGGUCUGAAAAACAUUUUCGUGUUAUUUAUUCACCAUUACAUGUGUUUCAUUUGUUAAUAAGAGUUACAAAAUUCUCUUAUAUUUGAUUCUCUGUCUAAGUUUUGUAACCCCUUUUAGCAAAUGGAACAUGUAAUGGUGAAUAAGUAAGACCAAAUUUUUUUUUUAAUCUCCUGUUUUGAUAUUUAUAUGUAUCAGUAAAUAGUAACAAAGAAACCAUUAAUUAGUAAUAUAACUUAUUGUGUCUUGGGAGAGUCAUUCUCUUUUAGUGCCUUAUUAUUUAACACACUCACUGGUUCGAUUUCCAGUUAUUUAUUUAUUUUUUCUGAAAUUUUUUGUUGCAACGUUUUCAAUAGUCACUGAGAGUCGUUGAGUGUCAUUGUGAGUCAACAACUAUUUAAAAGGUUGCAAGAAAAUUUUAGAAAAAAAAAAAUAAAUGAGUGGAAAUUAAAUUAAUGAGUGUGUUAAAUAAUAAGGCGCUAAAAGAGAAUGACUCCCCUCAGACAAUAAAAAAUACUUUAUCACACAAAUUCACAUAAAGAAUCUUGCAAACCAAAUACAAAAACGAAGUAAUAUAACUGAAUUCUAUCAAAGGAAAGAAAAGAAAAUCUGGAGAAGCUCACUUGAUGAAAUAUAAAAAAAAAAAGACCACAUAGUGCAAACAGGAAGUUUAUAAAGUUAAACUUUGUUUCUCAGAUAGGAGAGUGCUUAGUUACAGUUUCUGACCUCAAACAACAACAUUAUUUGAACUGUGGUUUAGGAUUUGGUAGCAGUAAGCAUUAAGGAGUACAUCUCAAAGUAAUUUGCAAACAUCGUUUUGUUGCUAUGACACUGGAGUUUGUCACAGCCCUCUUGCUCACCAGAACCAGUCAAAGUCUUUAAGGAUGGAAAAACGACAUCAUCAUCAUCAUCAUCAUCAUCGUUUAACGUCUGUUUUCCAUGCUAGCAUGGGUUGGAUGGUUCGACCGGGGUCUGGGAAGCCAGGAGGCUGCACCAGGCUCCAGUCUGAUCUGGCAGUGUUUCUACAGCUGGAUGCCCUUCCUAACGCUAACCACUCCGUGAGUGUAGUGGGUGCUUUUUACGUGCCACCUGCACAGGUGCCAGGUGAGGCUAGCAACGGCCACGAUUGGUUGGUGGUUUUUACGUGCCACCAACAAGGAAGCCAGUCAAGGCGGCGCUGGCAUCGGCCACGUACAGAUGGUGCUUUUUACGUGCCACCGGCACAGAUGCCAGGGCAGGCUGGCAAUGAUAAUAAUGUACUUUGUCUAUCUUAGUUUUAACAUCUUUAUUUUGCAACAGGCAUUGUUUCUGAAAUAUAAGCAAUUGAACUUGGACAUACAAGACAGCAAAUAGGAGGUUGAUAUAUUCAUACAACUUUACCUGUUGUAUUGUUAACCACACCCUACUGCCUAACUUGAGACGCAUCAUUAUCACUUUCUACUUGAAAGCUUUCAUCUUCAACCGAUAUCUUCUAGUCAUCUUCUAGAUAUGUUUGAUGAAAUUCUCAUUGAUCUUCAUCAGAAUCUUUCAAAAUUUUGCUGUAUCUUAUCAUUUGUUAAUAAUCUUCACGUUUGUCUUUUCUCUCCAGAAGUGUUUGUGUGCAGUGAACUUUACGGUCGAAAACUCGAGGGGGGAGAAAAAUAAACUAAAAAUAACAGUUAAAAUAGCACUUAUCUGUGAACAGACAUUUAUUUGUAAGCUGCCUAAUUCUUCACCGAUGACCUGUCUUUAUUCUGAUUAGCUGAUCUAUUUUUAAUUUGACCUUAUUUAAUCACAUGAGAUUUACCAAUUCCUGCUCUGUUGGGGAAUUUAACUGAGCAUUAAGUCUGUAACUCCCAGCAAACCUGGAAUAUGGCUCAUAUGGGUUUUGACUUGUUUAGUUUAGGCCGUGAGAUGUUCAUUAUUAUAGAUUAAAUAUUUAAAUCUUUUAUGCCUUAAAAGUUCAUUAAUAAAUUGAUAAAUAGCAUUUAACAGUUUUUUACUUAAUGAAAAAAAAAAAUUAUUUCCACUUUCAUUUUGCACUCUGCUUCAAAUUAAUAAUAAUAUAUAUAUGAUAGAUCGUUAGCCACUACACACAUUUUUUUCUCUCCUUGUUUUUUUCUGUGUCCCUUUCUGUAGAAGAGUGUAGGCUCGAAAUGUAAAAGACUUUUUCUAUUCCUGAGCGUUAUACUAAUACAUCUGUUUGUUUUGUACACCACCUGUCUUUGUCUUUUGUUUUUUUCGUAAAUUCUCCAUAUAUAUAUAUAUAUAUAUAUAUAUAUAUAGGGGUUUGUAUGAUUGUGUAUAGAGGGAUAUAUAUUAUUCAAAGAAAUUCCAACUCUGUUUUUUAUGUUUUAUUAAUAUUCUUUAUAAUGUUAAUGUAGAAUAUAGAAUAUAUUAGUAAAAAUAGUAUAUAUAGUAAAAUGAAAUGAAGUAUUGAUUGUCUUAUUAAAUAUAUAUAUAUUGUUGGUAAGGUGGAGCUUGAAGCAUACAAAGCUAUAAGCAAUUACAUGUAAAUAUUGGGUUAAAUAACUUCUUGGCUAGGAAAAGUCAAAGGCUUCUCAUGGGACUUGAACUUGCAUCUCUUGUAAACUUGUCAAGCAUUCCACCAUUGGACCAAAAACAUUUUACUAACUUUAUUCUUACCAGUGAGAAUUGUAUGUUGUUGACACCAUAAGAAUUUUUAAAGUUUGAAUUCUCAUUUUGGAAAGGUGCAUCUUGAAGCAAGACAGUAUUAUAAACAACAGCUUGUCACUUUUUCUACUUUACAUUUUUUUUUUUAGUUCAAUGUUUACACACUAUGGUAUAUGGCUUUGUCUACUUCGAGACCACUUUCCAAGAAUUAUUUCACAUUCUCUCAAAGUUUAUAAAAAUUCUUAUGACAAUAGGUGCAGGAGUGGCUGUGUGGUAAGUAGCUUGCUUACCAACCACAUGGUUCUGGGUUCAUUCCCACUGCAUGGCAUCUUAUGCAAGUGUCUUCUACUAUAGCCUCGGGCCGACCAAAGCCUUGUGAGUGGAUUUGGUAGACGGAAACUGAAAGAAGCCUGUUGUAUAUAUGUGUGUGUGUGUGUGUAUAUAUAUAUAUAUGUAUGUGUGUGUAUAUGUCUGUGUGUCUGUGUUUGUCCCCCCCCCCCAGCAUCAGUUGACAACAUCGCUUGACAACCGAUGCUGGUGUGCUUAUGUCUCUGUAACCUAGCGGUGCUCCAGCAUGGCCGCAGUCAAAUGACUGAAACAAGUAAAAGGAAAAGGAAUCAACAAAAUAAAUUUAAAAAUUUUCACAAGACUUGUGUUGAAUGGAUAACAACAAUUGGAAAUAAAUUUUACUGAGAAAUAUCUUAAUAACAUCAAAACUACUUCAGAAAAAUUUGUGUACAUGAGGAUGUGUAUUGACCCCAAACAUGCAGAUUAUGUAUUCAAACCAGCCAUAUUCAGCCCAUAUAUAUUCUACCUGUUUUAUGUUGAAACUGGCCAGAUCUGGCCAUCACACUUAUCCUGCAAUGUGAUUCUAGAAAUAAGCAAUCACGUCAUCGAAAUCAUGAAGCUAUGAGAUAAUACAUGAUUAAUUCAAAACAUUGUGAAUAAAUAAGCUUUACAUUCGACAGAAAUAUCUGAAUGCUAAAGGGUCAAAUCUCGUACACAUCUAAGUAUAAUGGAAACUGGGUCAAAUUUGAAAGAUUCUUGCUUCUUGCCUCCAUAAAUUGUCCGUAUUUAUUACCCUAGUGCUGGAAGAGAAACACUUGCCUACAUGUUAAAUAAUGUUUUGUGAAAUGCAUUUAAUAAUAGCACUGAGCAGCACUACAAUGGCCAGCCUUAUUUUGGGAAAGUCAAUUCUUGAUUUUGCAUUCUUCUUUUGUUUUUGUUUUCGCUGUGUGUAGUGAUAGCUGAUGCCAUGUAUAGACUGACUAUGAAAUUCCCAAGACUUUGAGAUUCGGAAUAAGAAUCUUAUGACUGCUGAUUGUAUUCCUCUGCCAUUGAAUAAAAUAAAAUUCUCUGUGUGGCCCUUUCAUACAUUAAUCUGAUAAUUACUUCUUCGUUCGUUUAAUCUACGACUAUCUUGCAAAUUUUUCAUUUAAUCAAAUUUAUCCAAAUAAUAAUAAUAAUAAUAAUAAUAAUAAUAAUAAUAAUAAUAUUAAUAAUAAUAUAAUAAUAAUGAUAAUAAUAAUAAUAAUAGUAAUAAUGAUAAUAAUAAUAAUAAUAGUAGUAAUAAUAAUAAUAAUAAUAAUAACAACACAAACAAUAAUGAAGACGAGGAUAAUAAUAAUAAUAAUAAUAAUAAUAAUAAUAACAAUAAUAAAAAAAUAUUUUGAAAUAUUCAUUGGUUACAAAAGAGUUUUAACACUACAAAUAGUAGAUGAAAUGAAAAACAUUGUUAAUGUUUUAUUCUUCUGUAAAAUUUUGACUAUUAUCUCUCUCGCAAUGUAAACUACAUUUUUUUCUUUUUCUUUUUUUUUUUUUUUAAAUUCAAUUUUUCAAUAUCAGUUGUCUUACUUUUAUCGUUUGCUUGUUUCAGUCAUUAGACUGUGGCCGUGCUGGAGCACACUGUCUUGAAGGGUUUUAAUUGAACAAAUCGACCUCGGGAUUUUUGUUUGUUUUUUAAAGCCUGGUACUUAUUCUGUCUCUCUCUUUUGGCGAACUGCUAAGUUACAGGGACAUAAACACACCAAAACCUAUUGUCAAGCAGUGGUUGAGGGACAAACACAGACACAAAGACACACACACAUGGAUAUAUACAUAUGUAUAUACAGUGGGCUUCUCUCUGUUUCUCACAAGGCCUUGGUCAGCCCAAGGCUAUAAUAGAAAACACUUGCCCAAGAUGUUACACAGUGGGACUGAACCCAGAACCAUGUGGUUGG
rnacentral:lncRNA from 1 species